GCACCUUUUAAAUGUAAAAACUUUUUAAAAAUUAAACUUGUCUACAUACCAUCAGCGCUAUUUGGAGUUGGAUGACCAGUUUGAGCAAGAGAGGAGGGCAAUGCGUGCAAGAGAAAAGGAGAGAGAAAGGAGAGAAAGACAGCUGGAGAAGAAAGCCAGGGAACAAGCUGAUCAAUUGAUGGCUUUGGAGGAGCAGAAAGCAAAUCUGACACGAGAGCUGAGCUCAAUCAAACAUACACAUAACAAGUUAGUACUGACACACCGAGAUCUGCUGGAAAAGAAAAAGGAGUGGGAGAGUGAAGCCUUCACUUUUAGGAAUCAUGUGCACAGCAAACAUUCGGAAGCAGAAACAGACACCUCCACUGAAGAGCAUGAUCCAAAAGCUGUUAGUGCCCCUGAUUCCACUGCGUCAGAAAUGAUCGAUACCAGCAACAGCAAAGUGACAGAUGCUGAAGUUAACCAUAAUAAUGAUCCGUCCUUUAACAGUGGCAUCAUAAGCUCCACCCCUGAGUUGGCUCAUUUGAAGGGUUUUAUUGAAAAAAGCUCCCUUGUUUGUUCAAAGACAGCAACUUCUGAAUUCAACUCUAGUUUGUUUGAUGAAAUGAAACAAGCACAGGAGGAUAAGAGAGAGGUGGAUGAAGACCAGAAGGUGAAAGAUGGAGAAAAAACGAAGGAGGAGGAAGAGACGGAUAAUGACUCUGAUUUCUUGGAAUGGGAGUUGAGAAAUACAGACUCUGUGUUUUCAGAGUUAUCUGAACUCAGCAAGGAAUAUGUAGAAAACGUCGACCAGGGGGCCAGUGUCAGAGGUACAAUCAUGUGUUUAAUUUGAAUGUAUGUGUGUUGUUUAGAAGAAAUUUCAAUUGCAAACAGGGAGAAUAGCAUCAAUCCUAU
rnacentral:lncRNA from 1 species